GACAUAUCUCAGGAUCUGGUCCUAGUGGAGCAUCAGCAGUACCUUCCAUCCCAGCAUCACAGGUAUUGGGCACAUAUCAGGGAGCUGGUCCUAGUGAAGCAUCAGCACUCAGCAGUACCUUCCGUCCCAGCAUCACAGGAUGGAUAUAAAUUUCAUCCCUGGAUCUCGAACUCUGAACUCUCGCCUCUGGACACUCAACACUGGACAGGGGGUUAUAAUUCUCAAUGUGACUCGUGCAAGUGACCCAGGCUUCUUGUCAGAGUCAAAAUUAUGCAUGAUUUCAUUUUUUU